UUUGAAAUCUGACCUUCGGGUCCGAGUUGUAAUCUGCAGAUGAGUCUUCCGGCAGAGCGCCGUCCAAGUGCCCUGGAACGGGUCGCCGGAGAGGGUGAGAGCCCCGUACCGACGCGCGCCGAGCCUCUGUGAAGCUCAUUCGAAGAGUCGAGUAGUUUGGAAAUGCUGCUCUAAUUGUGGGGUAAAUCUCCCAUAAGGCUAAAUACCGGCCAGAGACCGAUAGCGCACAAGUAGCGUGAGCGAAAGAUGAAAAGAGCCUUGAACAAGGGCGUCAAAAAGCAUGUGAAAUUGUUGUGGGGGAAGCGUUCGAUGCCAGACAUGGCGGCGGUUGGUUACCCGGCGUUCUUCGCCGGCGCACUCUGCCGUCGCCAGGCCAGCAUCAGUUCGGAUCGAGGCCUACUGCCAGUGGGAACGUGGCUCCUCCGGGAGUGUUAUAGCCCAUUGGUAACGUCUCGGACCGGACUGAGGACCGCGCUUCGGCUCGGAUGCUGGCGUAAUGGCCUCUAGCGACCCGUCUUGAAACACGGACCAAGGAGUUGACCUAGCGUGCGAGUGUUUGGGUGUCAAGCCCUUACGCGCAGUGAAAGCGAAUGCAGGUGGGAGCUUCGGCGCACCAUCGACCGAUCCUGAAGUUUACGGAUGGAUUUGAGUAAGAGCACGUUGGGUCUGACCCGAAAGAAGGUGAACUAUGCAUGAAUAGGGUGAAGCCAGAGGAAACUCUGGUGGAGGCUCGCAGCGGUUCUGACGUGCAAAUCGAUCGUCAAAUUUGUGCAUGGGGGCGAAAGACCAAUCGAACCUUCUAGUAGCUGGUUCCUGCCGAAGUUUCCCUCAGGAUAGCAGAGUUGAUCCUCAGUUUCAUGAGGUAAAGCGAAUGAUUAGAGACUCGGGGGCGCUAUAUUGCCUUCAUCUAUUCUCAA
rnacentral:rRNA from 1 species